rnacentral:misc_RNA from 1 species
GAAGAUGCAUCUUGAUGUAAUUGCAUGCCCGUGAUCAAAAAGCCAUCCAACUUCACAGCAAGUAUCCUCACUGUCUUUACUUUCUUUGAGGGAACACCAUAGUUGCUUGGGAAGCAGCUUGAGUUCUGAUUCAGUUCUCACUGACUUUUGCACGUUGUCAGCCAAAAGUUCUUGUACAACAUUAAUCUGAGAACCAUCAAAAUGGGCAACAGAGACAGGGCCCUGCCAUGUCCCAACCACCUCAGAAGCUUUCAAGGCAGCAGUAGAAGCGAAUGCGGAGUCUCGAAUGGCACAUCCACCAAGCUGUUCCCCAUUUCUGAAUGGUCCAUACCACUGCUCAAAGAAAACUCUGAUAUUCCGCAACACAAGCCGUGUACCUUCAACUCGAACAACCUGAAUAACCCUCACACGAGAUUCACGAUCUUGAGGAUUAACCAGGCAAUGCUCCAACUCCAUUAACUUACAAGAACCUUCAUCCUCAAUUGGCCAGAGAACUACAUAACAACCACUACGUUUAUAUGCAAAGGCAGUCAUUUCAUCAUUUGCCCCAAUUCCACUUCCAACAUUUCUCUCAUCAAUGCUGUAACGAGUUGCAGCAUCGGCUUCACAU